GGAUGCGAUCAUACCAGCACUAAAGCACCGGAUCCCAUCAGAACUCCGAAGUUAAGCGUGCCUGGGCGAGAGCAGUACUAGGAUGGGUGACCUCCUAGGAAGUCCUCGUGUUGCAUUCC
rnacentral:rRNA from 1 species